AGUGAACGCUGGCGGUAGGCCUAACACAUGCAAGUCGAACAGCAGCACAGUAAGAGCUUGCUCUUACGGGUGGCGAGUGGCGGACGGGUGAGGAAUACAUCGGAAUCUACUUUUUCGUGGGGGAUAACGUAGGGAAACUUACGCUAAUGCCGCAUACGACCUACGGGUGAAAGCAGGGGAUCUUCGGACCUUGCGCGAUUGAAUGAGCCGAUGUCGGAUUAGCUAGUUGGCGGGGUAAAGGCCCACCAAGGCGACGAUCCGUAGCUGGUCUGAGAGGAUGAUCAGCCACACUGGAACUGAGACACGGUCCAGACUCCUACGGGAGGCAGCAGUGGGGAAUAUUGGACAAUGGGCGCAAGCCUGAUCCAGCCAUACCGCGUGGGUGAAGAAGGCCUUCGGGUUGUAGAGCCCUUUUGUUGGGAAAGAAAAGCAGCAGGUUAAUACCCCGCUGUUCUGACGGUACCCAAAGAAUAAGCACCGGCUAACUUCGUG
rnacentral:rRNA from 1 species